rnacentral:piRNA from 1 species
UCUUGUGGGUUCUGCCAUGGCUGGG